AGUGACGGGAGGACUGCAAGG
rnacentral:miRNA from 2 species